GGGAGGCAGCAGGUGGGAAUAUUGCACAAUGGGCGCAAGCCUGAUGCAGCGACGCCGCGUGAGGGAUGACGGCCUUCGGGUUGUAAACCUCUUUCAGUAGGGAAGAAGCGAAAGUGACGGUACCUGCAGAAGAAGCACCGGCUAACUACGUGCCAGCAGCCGCGGUAAUACGUAGGGUGCAAGCGUUGUCCGGAAUUAUUGGGCGUAAAGAGCUCGUAGGCGGUUUGUCGCGUCUGUCGUGAAAGUCCGGGGCUUAACCCCGGAUCUGCGGUGGGUACGGGCAGACUAGAGUGCAGUAGGGGAGACUGGAAUUCCUGGUGUAGCGGUGGAAUGCGCAGAUAUCAGGAGGAACACCGAUGGCGAAGGCAGGUCUCUGGGCUGUAACUGACGCUGAGGAGCGAAAGCAUGGGGAGCGAACAGGAUUAGAUACCCUGGUAGUCCAUGCCGUAAACGUUGGGCACUAGGUGUGGGGACCAUUCCACGGUUUCCGCGCCGCAGCUAACGCAUUAAGUGCCCCGCCUGGGGAGUACGGCCGCAAGGUUAAAACUCAA
rnacentral:rRNA from 1 species